CAAUAGCGUAUACUAAUGUUGUUGCAGUUAAAAAGCUCGUAGUUGAACUUCUGGUAGGAGUGUCCCGGCCUUUUUGUUUUUACAAAUUGUAUGCUGUGUGACAUCUCUGGCCAUCCUUCUUCUUUUUUUAAAGAAGAUCUUUCACUGUAAAAAAAUUAGGGUGUUCAAAGCAAAAGUUUCUUUGGAAUAUAUUAGUAUGGGAUGAUAAGAUAGGCUCUAGAUGCUAUUUUGUUGGUUUGCACAUUUAGAGAAUGAUUAACAGGGACAGUUGGGGGUAUUCGUAUUUACAUGUCAGAGGUGAAAUUCUUGGAUUUUGGAAAGACGAACUACUGCGAAAGCAUUUACCAAGGAUGUUUUCAUUAA
rnacentral:rRNA from 1 species